UACGUAGGGUGCGAGCGUUGUCCGGAAUUAUUGGGCGUAAAGAGCGCGUAGGCGGCCUGCUAAGUUGGAUGUGAAAACUCUGGGCUCAACCCAGAGCCUGCAUUCAAUACUGACGGGCUAGAGUACUGGAGGGGAAAGCGGAAUUCCUGGUGUAGCGGUGAAAUGCGUAGAUAUCAGGAGGAACACCGGUGGCGAAGGCGGCUUUCUGGACAGUAACUGACGCUGAGGCGCGAAAGCUAGGGGAGCAAACAGG
rnacentral:rRNA from 1 species